rnacentral:sRNA from 1 species
ACAAAAUAAUAUUUAAUUUUAUUGAUCGGGUUUAGAUGGUUAGGACGGGUUUGAGUCGAUAGAAAUACAAGACGAUAUAUCAUGGGUGAAAUCCAUAAGAUAUGUUUGAUAUUCACUGAACGAGAUUAGAUUGUAGGACGGGUUUGAGUCGAUAGUAAUACGAGACGGUAUACCACGGGCGAAAUCAUAUAUAUAACAAUCAAAAUACAAUUAUAUUAUCUUAAACACUAUACAAAACAAACAAUAUUAACAAAAUAAAUAUAAUUUAAAUUUAAAUUAUUUAGU